rnacentral:rRNA from 1 species
AGAGUUUGAUCCUGGCUCAGGGUUAACGCUGGCGGCGUGCCUUACACAUGCAAGUCGAACGGGGCUAUCAGCGAUGGUAGCUUAGUGGCGAACGGGUGAGGAAGACACAGGGACCUACCGACCAGAGGGGGAUACCCGCUGGAAACGGCGGAUAAAACCGCAUACGCCCGGGUGAAAGCCCGGGGAAAAGCACUACGGUGUUACUGGACGAGGGACCUGCGGCCCAUCAGGUAGUUGGGGAGGUAACGGCUCACCAAGCCGACGACGGGUAUCUGGCGUGAGAGCGCGAACAGGCACAAGGACACUGAGAGACGGGUCCUACUCCUACGGGAGGCAGCAGUGGGGAAUAUUGGACAAUGGGCGAAAGCCUGAUCCAGCGACGCCGCGUGUCGGAAGGAGUCCUUCGGGAUGUAAACGACUUUUGGUUGAGACGAAUAAGCAGCUCAGGGAAUGGGGCUGUGAUGACGGUAUCCAUGGAAUAAGCCCCGGCUAACUACGUGCCAGCAGCCGCGGUAAGACGUAGGGGGCAAGCGUUACCCGGAAUUACUGGGCGUAAAGGGAGCGUAGGCGGGAGGUCAAGUCCGGUGUGAAAGACCCUGGCUCAACCAGGGAUGAGGGCUGGAAACUGACAAUCUUGAGUACAGCAGAGGAAGAGGGAAUUACCGGUGUAGGGGUGAAAUCCGUAGAGACCGGUAAGAAGGCCAGUGGCGAAGGCGCUUUUCUGGGCUGUUACUGACGCUGAGGCUCGAAAGCCAGGGGAGCAAACCGGAUUAGAUACCCGGGUAGUCCUGGCCGUAAACGAUGCUCACUAGGUGUGGGGCGCAUAGCGUGCUCUGCGCUGAAGCAAACGCAAUAAGUGAGCCGCCUGGGGAGUACGUCCGCAAGGAUGAAACUCAAAUGAAUUGACGG